rnacentral:misc_RNA from 1 species
ACUAGCUACGCAUCUAGAAUAAUUUUUGGUGGGAGUUAGUUCGCUAGAUUUCACAUAGAGAACCAUUUUUACAGCCUAAUCUUACAUAGCAUGCGUUAUGCGCUGUGGUUAGGUAUUUAGAUUAGUCUUCAAUUGAGGACUACUUGUAGAUUAAGCAUACUUCCGAGAUCCGAAUAUGGUCUAUUUGUAUUGUGAUUCUUUUGUGAUGCUUUUGUGAUGAAUGGUAUUUUAAAAUAGAGCAAAAUAUGCAUGUAAGAAAUUGAGUUGUUAGCGACCUAAAUACCUGAUAAUUAUUUUCUAUUCUCCGAUUAAUCGAAGGUUUCCCGAACGUUUUUAUUAAAAAUAAAAA